rnacentral:lncRNA from 1 species
UUGUUGCCGUCAGCUAGGUACCUAGGUGACCUAGGGACGAAAUGAUCGAAAUCUCUCUUUAGUUUUUGGCGGUGCUUUUUGGAACGGUCGCUCCACCAGCUGAUGCACGCUUGAACUACUUGAACGGGCUUGGGCUUUCAUCUCCUGUCUCUACACCGACGACGAUGACCGCGAGUCGGGCAGCUUUCGUUUCGACAACGUAGUACGCGAACCGGUGCUCCGUAGCGACUUCGUCGUGGCUACCUCGCCUCGAACAACAUCCAUGACCUGGACGUCGAAGGCGAGGAUGCUGCAUUGCGCUGCCUUGCCACAAUUGAGUGCCCAUGCUGCAAGUUCAGUCGUAACCUCGUGGAGUGGGUGGGAUCCAACUUCAUGGAGAAAGUAAAGGCUGAAGAGCUGUGUUUGAGUAUGCUUUGCUGGUGCUCAUUCUGUUUUUAGCCAUUUCAAAAGAUGUAAGAAGUGGCAGUAGUGACCUGAUAUCACUUGGCCCUUGGCUGCUCUUCCGUAUCAACACUGGCUCUGCCCAAACUAGGCACCAAGUUCAAGAGACCAAAGUGUGUAUGCUCACUUCCCAAGUGUGAAAAGGAAAUGCACAUCGGCA